CAAGUGCUGGCAGUCAAUUUGGCCUUUUUUUUUUAACAAAGCAGAAACAAAUUGUAUCACAUAAAAUGUUCAUAAUAUGGACAUUAAUUAUCACAGUUGGUGUUGAGGGAGGCUGGUGUUCUAUGAUAAAGAAAGCUACAACACUGAGAGUUUUUUCCUAUGUAAGCAAAUUUUACAAGUGAUUUGUCUUUUAACUGUUGAAUAAAAGCACUUUUUAUCAAUAGAGUUAAACUUAUUUUUAUUUCACAUUCCCUGUAUUAGAACAUGAAUAUUUAUUCUUUUAAAGCUUUUUAUUUUUUAUGGAAAGAGGAUUCUCUCAACCUUUCUAAUAUAUAAAAACACUUACUCACAUUUGCACUUACAAACUGCUUACAUGGGCAAACAUUGCAUUCCAGGUUCCUAGGGAGGGAAAUUCUGCAUUUUAUUCUGAAGUUACAAAAGAUAAUUAAUACACUACUGGGCUAAGCACUAGGUUUAGGCUGGCUCUAGCCCUACUUUAUGCAUUUCAGCAUUGAAAAAAAAAAUCAGUGAUGGGUAAUGCUAUCAAAAAUGCUAAUCCAAAGCUUUGCUUAUGGAUAUCAUAUUAUUUUAAAAGGUAAUAGAGAACAUUCCCUGUAAUCAAGGGUGAGUCAAGGAAAAUGGCAUCUAAGGGAGUAUGUCAGCCAAACAGAAAACUUGACCCAACACCAAGCUCAUUGUCAGAAUCACAGCUGCCUCAUCAACCAAUGAGACUGAAAGGGAGGCAGCCGGGAAGUCAGGUGCCGAGGCUGGAAAGACUCUGUGCCAGACCCAUUGGCAGUUGGCCCUUCAGCUGCUGUACAGCCCCGGUAGGGGCCCAGGGGUAUUGAAUCUGGUUUUGGACCACAGGAGGAGAGUGAAGUGAAGUACAACCAAUAUUGUCAACAGCAAGAUCGUCAAACCUCCCUGUUCCCUGCAGCAUAGCAAUAUUAAAAUUAGGCCAAUGAAGAAACCUACAAUGACCUCUAAGUGGGUCAAGUCAAAGAAAGAGGUGCAUGCCUCUUUUCCUUUAAAUCAAAUCAAAAGCAGAACAGGAUUGAGCUUAGUGAGGAAGGCAUAUUGAAAGCCAAGAUGGGCCAAAAGCUAGGUUGCUUGUGCCAAAGAAUUAGCCAAGUUGUGAAUGCAAAGGAGAAAAGUUCUUGAAGGAAAUUAAAAGUGCUACUCCAGUGAACACAUGAAUGAUAAGAAAGCAAAACAGCCUUCUUGAUGAUAUGAGGAAAAUUUGGGCUCGAUAGAAGAUCAAAGCAGCCACAACAUUCCCUUAAGCCAAAGCAUAAUCCAUAGCAGGACCCUAACUCUCUUCAAUUGCAUGAAUGCUGAGAGAGGUGAGAAAGUUGCAGAAGAAAAGUUUGAAGCUAGAAGAGGUUGCUUCAUGAGGUUUUAAAAAGAAAGCUGUCUCUACAAUGUAAAAGUGGAAGGUGAAGCAGCAAGUGCUGAUGUAGAAGAUGCAGCAAGUUAUCCAGAAGAUCUAGCUAACAUACUUGAUGAUGGUGGCUACACUAAACAAUAAAUUUUAAAUGGAGAUGAAACAUGUUAUGUUAGAAGAUACUAUUGGGAACUCUCAUAGCUAGAGAAGAGAAGUCAAUGCCUAGCUUCACAGCUUCAAAGGACAGGCUGGCUCUCUUUGUUAGGGGUUAAUGCAGCUGGUGACUUUAAGUUGAAGCCAGUGCUCAUUUACCAUUCCAAAAAUCCUGGGGCCCUUCCAAAUUAUGUUAAAUCUACUCUGCCUGUGUUCCAUAAAUUCAACAACAAAGCCUGGAUGACAGCAUAUCUGUUCGUAGCAUGGUUUACAGAAUGUUGAAGCCCUCUGUUGAGUCCUACUGCUCAGAGAAACAGAUCACUGUCAAUGUAUUACCGCUCUAAUGGAGGUGUACAAGGAGACCGAUGUUGCUUUCAUGGCUGCUAACACAAUAUACAUUCUGCAGCCCAUGGAUCAAGGAGUAAUUUUCACUUUCAAAUCUGAUUAUUUAAGAAAUACAUUUUAUAAGGCUAUGGCUGCCAUAGAUAAUGAGCCCUCUGAUGAAUGUGGGUGAAGUAAAUUGAAAGCCUUAUUGAAAGGAUUUACCAUCCUAGAUGCCAUUAAGAACAUUCAUGAUUCAUAGGCAGAGGGGCAAAAUAGCAACAUUAACAGGAGCUUGGAAGAGGUUGAUUCCAAUUCUCAUGGAUGACUUUGAGGAGUUAAGACUUCAGUGGAGGAAGUGACUGUAGAUGUGGUGGAACUAGCAAGAGAACUAAAACUAGAAGUAGAGCCUGAAGAUAAACGACUAAUUUGCUCAAAUCUCAUGACAAAACUUUAAUGGUUGAGAAAGAAAGUGGUUUCUUGAGAUGGAAUCUCCCCUGGUGAAGAUACUGUGAAAACUGUGGAAAUAACAACAAAUGAUUUAGAAUAUUACAUACACUUGGUUGAUAAAGCAGUGGCAGAGUUUGAGAGGAUUGACUCCCAUUUUUAAAGCAGUUCUACUGUGGGUAAAAUGCUAUCAAGCGGCACUGCACGCUAGAGCAAUUUUUUGUGAAAGGAAGAGCCCAUGAUGUGGCAAAUCUAUUUGUUGUCGUAUUUUAAGUAAUUGUCACAAUUACCCCAACCUUCAGCAACCACCGACUCUGAUCAGUCAGCGACCAUUAACAUGGAGGCAAGACCCUCCACCAGCGAAAGGAUUAUGACUCACUGAAGUCUCAGAUAACCAUUAGCAUUUUUAGCACUAACACAUUUUAAAAUCAAGGCCUGUACAUUGUUUUCGUAAACAUAACGCUAUUGCAUACUUAAUGGACUACAGUAUAGUAUAAACGUACCUCUUAUAUGCACUGGGAAACCAAAAAAUUCGUAUGACUCACUUUGUUGCAAUAUUCACUUUAUUGGGGUAGUCUGAAAUUGACCCCACAAUCUCUCUGAGGUAAAAGGUCAUUAAUUAGGAGAAGAUUUAUCUCAAGGAAACGUAUGAUCUGUGGGUAGUGUGGUCAAAGAUGACUUCUGCAGAUAAAAACAUCAUCUUGUAUGCAAGGGCGUGGUGAAAACCUCUGCUAUCAUACUGGAUACAAGGUCUUUAACUUCUCAGCACCAGUUUUAUGGAGCCCCCACCGCUAAGCAAGUGUGCAAAAUGCAGUGCUGCUUCGCAUUGGGAAAUCCCCAAUCUGGUGCCAAGAGGUUCAUAAAUACAGUAAUGGACCCUCUUAUGUCAAAAGAACUUUGGAAAAAUGCAGACAUUAAAACAGAAAAAACAUUGCUUGUUGUCUUUUUUCUUUGGAUCUGUAGAGUUACCAGAAGAAAAAGAUGGGAACAGUGGUAAAGUUAGUACAUUUCCUAGGAUUUAGAUCUACUGGAAAUGUCUGGACCCCUGCAGGCCUCUAGCCACAAGAUUGCAUCACCUAUCAUAAAACUCCCUGGCUGUGCUUUUCUACUGAGUUCACAUUUACAGUACUAAUAAUGCCUUCAGUACAAGUCAUUUCCAGGGAAUUAAAUCUUUGCAGUCAGUGGGUUAAAUCCCCAUGAAAUAACCUGCAGGUGACCCAGUUGGAUUGACCUCAAGUAUAGAAUUUCAGAUCAAUAGUUGCUGUACUUGGAUUCUGAGAUAUAAAACAAUCCCUAGUGUUUUUGUUACCCCAAUGAGUAUUAUCAGACAAGGGAUUACUAUGGCAAUUGCAGGGUCUUAUGAUAUUAAUGGGGUUUUUUUUUUUUGGUCCAAAAAGAAGUUAUUUUAAAAAGUAAAUGCCUUCUGUUCACUCUUCUUGGACUAUGUGAUAACUUUCAAACAUAUAAUAAAAAUUAAAGUAAUUCAGA